ACGCACGCUGGCGGCGUGCUUCACACCUGCCAGUCGAACGAAGAGCGAUGGAAGCUUGCUUCUAUCAAUCUUAGUGGCGAACGGGUGAGUAACGCGUAAUCAACCUGCCCUUCAGAGGGGGACAACAGUUGGAAACGACUGCUAAUACCGCAUACGAUCUAAUCUCGGCAUCGAGGAUAGAUGAAAGGUGGCCUCUACAUGUAAGCUAUCACUGAAGGAGGGGAUUGCGUCUGAUUAGCUAGUUGGAGGGGUAACGGCCCACCAAGGCGAUGAUCAGUAGCCGGUCUGAGAGGAUGAACGGCCACAUUGGGACUGAGACACGGCCCAGACUCCUACGGGAGGCAGCAGUGGGGAAUCUUCCGCAAUGGACGAAAGUCUGACGGAGCAACGCCGCGUGAGCGAUGACGGCCUUCGGGUUGUAAAGCUCUGUUAAUCGGGACGAAAGGCCUUCUUGCGAAUAGUGAGAAGGAUUGACGGUACCGGAAUAGAAAGCCACGGCUAACUACGUG
rnacentral:rRNA from 1 species